rnacentral:rRNA from 1 species
UACAGAGGGUGCAAGCGUUGUCCGGAAUCACUGGGCGUAAAGGGCGCGUAGGCGGCCUGAUAAGUCGGGGGUGAAAUUCUGCGGCUUAACCGCAGGACGGCCUUCGAGACUGUCGGGCUUGAGCACGGUAGAGGCUGGUGGAAUUCCCGGUGUAGCGGUGGAAUGCGUAGAGAUCGGGAAGAACAUCGGUGGCGAAGGCGGCGUCCUGGACCAACACUGACACUGAUGAGCGAAAGCCAGGGGAGCAAACGGG